CCUACGGGAGGCAGCAGUAAGGAAUAUUGGUCAAUGGAGGCAACUCUGAACCAGCCAUGCCGCGUGCAGGAAGACAGCCCUCUGGGUCGUAAACUGCUUUUAUUCGGGAAUAAACCUUAUUACGUGUAAUAAGCUGAAUGUACCGAAGGAAUAAGGAUCGGCUAACUCCGUGCCAGCAGCCGCGGUAAUACGGAGGAUCCAAGCGUUAUCCGGAUUUAUUGGGUUUAAAGGGUGCGUAGGCGGCUUAUUAAGUCAGGGGUGAAAGACGGUGGCUCAACCAUCGCAGUGCCUUUGAUACUGAUGAGCUUGAAUGAACUAGAGGUAGGCGGAAUGUGACAAGUAGCGGUGAAAUGCAUAGAUAUGUCACAGAACACCGAUUGCGAAGGCAGCUUACUAUGGUUUUAUUGACGCUGAGGCACGAAAGCGUGGGGAUCAAACAGGAUUAGAUACCCUGGUAGUCCCCGCCCUAAACGAUGAAUACUCGCUGUUAGCGAUAUACAGUUAGCGGCUAAGCGAAAGCGUUAAGUAUUCCACCUGGGGAGUACGCCCGCAAGGGUGAAACUCAAAGGAAUUGACGG
rnacentral:rRNA from 1 species